UACGUAGGGCGCAAGCGUUGUCCGGAAUCACUGGGCGUAAAGGGCGCGUAGGCGGCUCAUGAAGGCUGUGGUGAAAGUCCGGGGCUCAACCUCGGAUCGGCCGUGGCGACUCGUGGGCUGGAGCACUGUAGAGGCGGGUGGAAUUCCGGGUGUAGCGGUGGAAUGCGUAGAGAUCCGGAGGAACACCAGUGGCGAAGGCGGCCCGCUGGGCAGUGGCUGACGCUGAGGCGCGACAGCGUGGGGAGCAAACAGG
rnacentral:rRNA from 1 species